rnacentral:rRNA from 1 species
AGUAAAAGUCGUAACAAGGUUUCACCACGGAAGCCUUUGUUCCCUGCGACUAUAAAUAAUGGAGCAAGUGGCAUCAGCCGCUACAUAAUCGAAUUGCGGGGAUAUCCUAAAGCUCAGGCUACUAUUCAAGGUCGAAAGACUCUGUUACAGUAACAGUGCCUGAGAUGUAACAAUGGACAAUCUGCAGCCCAGCCUCUACAGCAAAACGCCAUGAGGAAGGUUCACAGACUAAGCGAUUGUGGGUCAGAUAGUCCUGACUUAAGAUAUAGUCGGUCGGAUCGUGAAAACGAGACGGUAAAACGUUCCGUAGGUGAACCUGCGGAAGGAUCAUUACAGAGUUCAUGCCCUUCGGGGUAGAUCUCCCACCCUUGAAUAUUAUACCUUUGUUGCUUUGGCGGGCCGCUUCGUCCACCGGCUUCGGCUGGUGAGUGCCCGCCAGAGGACCCUAAACUCUGAAUUACAGUGUCGUCUGAGUACUAUACAAUAGUUAAAACUUUCAACAACGGAUCUCUUGGUUCUGGCAUCGAUGAAGAACGCAGCGAAAUGCGAUAAGUAAUGUGAAUUGCAGAAUUCAGUGAAUCAUCGAAUCUUUGAACGCACAUUGCGCCCCUUGGUAUUCCGGGGGGCAUGCCUGUUCGAGCGUCAUUUAAACCCUCAAGCUCAGCUUGGUGUUGGGGCAUGCCUACCGGCAGCCCCUAAAAUCAGUGGCGGUGCCUGCUGGCUCUAAGCGUAGUAAUACUCCUCGCUAUAGGGACCGGUGGACCACCCGCCAGAACCCCCAAUUUUCUAUGGUUGACCUCGGAUCAGGUAGGGAUACCCGCUGAACUUAAGCAUAUCAAUAAGCGGAGGAAAAGAAAACAACAGGGAU